ACACAUGCAGUCGAGCGGUAGAGAGAAGCUUGCUUCUCUUGAGAGCGGCGGACGGGUGAGUAAUACCUAGGAAUCUGCCUGAUAGUGGGGGAUAACGUUCGGAAACGGACGCUAAUACCGCAUACGUCCUACGGGAGAAAGCAGGGGACCUUCGGGCCUUGCGCUAUCAGAUGAGCCUAGGUCGGAUUAGCUAGUUGGUGAGGUAAUGGCUCACCAAGGCUACGAUCCGUAACUGGUCUGAGAGGAUGAUCAGUCACACUGGAACUGAGACACGGUCCAGACUCCUACGGGAGGCAGCAGUGGGGAAUAUUGGACAAUGGGCGAAAGCCUGAUCCAGCCAUGCCGCGUGUGUGAAGAAGGUCUUCGGAUUGUAAAGCACUUUAAGUUGGGAGGAAGGGCAGUUACCUAAUACGUGAUUGUCUUGACGUUACUGACAGAAUAAGCACCGGCUAACUCUGUGCCAGCAGCCGCGGUAAUACAGAGGGUGCAAGCGUUAAUCGGAAUUACUGGGCGUAAAGCGCGCGUAGGUGGUUUGUUAAGUUGAAUGUGAAAUCCCCGGGCUCAACCUGGGAACUGCAUCCAAAACUGGCAAGCUAGAGUAUGGUAGAGGGUAGUGGAAUUUCCUGUGUAGCGGUGAAAUGCGUAGAUAUAGGAAGGAACACCAGUGGCGAAGCGACUACCUGGACUGAUACUGACACUGAGUGCGAAAGCGUGGGGAGCAAACAGGA
rnacentral:rRNA from 1 species